AUACAACGUCAACAAGUCACUCCUCUUCUCCCCAAACAUUCACCUUAUUCCUAAACCCAUCCACUUAUCAUUUGACGUGAAAAGAAAGAAUCUAAAAGAAAAAAAAAACACUUAAUCACUCUCUAACUUCUUCUUCUUCUUCUCUUUACCAACACCAUCAAAGUUACUAACACCAUUAAUUCAAACUCAAAAUCAUGCCACUUUGUCAUAGCCAGUGGCUAUCUCAUCCUCUCACCAAAUCCCUCUUCUCCAAGUUUCUUCCCACAACAACCUAUGCAUCAUCAUUCUUCCCUCAAAGGGUACCCAUCUUUUGCUUCCAUUCAUCAUCACACUCCACCAAAGAUGGUGCUGUGGAGCAUGUUUUUGACAAUAAUAAUAACUUUGAUGAACCUAAAGUUAAAAUAUUGAAGCAGAAAAUGGAACCUCUUGGCAUCAACUUAGACAACUCUUGUUUGCCUGGAAAGUACCAUAACCUUUUUUGUCCAAAGUGCAAAGGUGGACAGUUAAAGGAGAGGAGUUUGUCUUUUCACAUUAUCUCUGAUGGUGAAUUUGCAAUGUGGAGGUGUUUUAGACCUACAUGUGGUUGGGCUGGUCAGGUUUUUGCAGAUGACAAGGAAUUGGACAGUAAGGUUAAUGGUAAUGCCAAGCCUUUUGGACAAAUGGAUGAGGAGAGCUUAGGAUUGGAACCACUUGGUCCUAAGCUUAUUGCUUACUUUAAAGAAAGACUGAUAUCAGAGAAAACCUUAAGCCGAAACGCUGUAAGGCAACAGUCGGACAAUAAGAAUGUUAUUGCUUUUACUUACAAACAAAAUGGGUUGCUUGUCGGUUGUAAGUACAGAACAAUCGAGAAAAGAUUUUGGCAGAGAAAAGGCACAGAAAAAGUACUUUAUGGACAUGACGAUAUUAGUCAUGCAACCGAAAUCAUCAUUGUUGAAGGGGAAAUUGAUAAGCUUUCACUCGAGGAAGCCGGCUAUCAAAAUUGUGUUAGUGUUCCAGUUGGUGCACCUGGAAAAGUAUCCUCAAAAGAUUUGCCACCAAUAGAAAAGUCAGGACACUGCAUAUCGAUACUUGUGGAACUGCAAAGCGUACUUGGAUAAGGUAGUUCGCAUUAUCCUCGCAACCGAUAAUGAUCCACCAGGUCAAGCUUUAGCCGAAGAGCUGGCACGGCGCCUUGGGCGACAAAGGUGUUGGCAAGUACGCUGGCCAAAGAAAGAUGAAAAUACCUUCUUCAAAGAUGCAAAUGAGGUUCUCAAAUACAUGGGAGCUGAUGCUUUGAAGAGAAUAGUUGAAAAUGCAGAGCCAUAUACUAGUGCAUACUAGGUAAUUCCAUGAUUUCCAUCUUGGAAUGUGAAGAUGGAUGUAGGUGAAGUGAUAUGUUUCAUCAAGAUUGUAAAAUGUGAGUUUAUUAUAAUCUACAUGGUCAACUGAAGGAUAUUUAUGUGCACUGGUGUGAACAAUUGCAACUCUUGGAUAAUAUUAACUCAAAUCUUCCAUAAUAUAUAGUGAAUUGCAAGGUUUUAAGUUGCAGUUGUGGUAAUGGUUUCGUUGCGAUCCUUAAUAUUGCGGAGAAUUAUAGUGAAAUAAAAUAAAUUGCGGCCACUACGCUCACCGAGUCCCCUUCCUCUUCCAAUUUUUGAUGGUGUAGUUCUCUUGGGUUUUAGACAUUCAGAAAGUAUACAUAAGUAAGUGUAUUUUUGAGUUUCUAUAAGCAUAGUUUCAUAUUUUUAAGAUUGAAUAUUUGAAUGUAUACUUAAGGAGGUGUAUUUUAUUACUUCUAUAAUAAAUAUACACCAUUUCCUGAA